GAUCAUGCCUCAGGAUGAACGCUAGCCGGCAGGCCUAACACAUGCAAGUCGAGGGGCAGCACGUUAAAGAGUUUACUCUUUAUGGUGGCGACCGGCGGACGGGUGCGUAACGCGUAUGCAACCUGCCUGACACAGGGGGAUAAUCCGAAGAAAUUUGGUCUAAUACCCCAUAAUACCGAUAUAGGCAUCUAUGUUGGUUGAAAGCUUGUGGUGUCAGAUGGGCGAUGCGUUGUAUUAG
rnacentral:rRNA from 1 species